rnacentral:rRNA from 1 species
GACAGAGGGUGCAAACGUUGUUCGGAAUUACUGGGCGUAAAGCGUGUGUAGGCGGCCGCGCAAGUCGGAUGUGAAAUCCCCGGGCUCAACCCGGGAAGGGCACCCGAAACUGCACGGCUUGAGUACCGGAGAGGUUGGUGGAAUUCUCGGUGUAGAGGUGAAAUGCGUAGAGAUUAGGAAGAACACCAGUGGCGAAGGCGACUUUCUGGACAAUAACUGACGCUGAGGCUCGAAAGCGUGGGGAGCAAACAGG